AAAAGUAAAGAAAAAGAAAAUUCUCUUCCUUCUUCAUCCCGUGCGUCCUCCAUCUUUUCCUUCUUCUCCGUUCACCCUAGCAGCCGCACGCUCCAGCAACCGCCCAAUUCUUCUUCUCUUUUCUUCCUCUUUCGUUCGACGUCGACGGUCAGACCAAGCCGAAAACGAAAACCCAGUCGCCGUCCCUCUUUUCUUUUCGUUUUCUACCGCCGGCAACCCCAAAAUUUCUCUUCUUUCGUUUCUCUUUCUUUUCUACCAUACCCAGCCACCGCUGCAACCGUCGGCCGCCAUCUCUGUUCGCGAAGCAAGCCGUACGCGUCACCUUGCAGUUGUCGUCCAGAUCUGCGUCGCCGUGCCCCGUCCUAAUCGCCUUUGUCUCCGUCGAAGCCAAGCCCAGCCGCCGCCCAUUCCUUUCCUCUCCGUUCGUGAAGCCCGGUCACCGCGUCAGAUCGUCGAUCGAUUUUGAGGCAGCGCGCACGUCUCCUUCCAGCCGCGCGUUUCCUCUUCUUCCAGCAGCGUGUUUUUCUUCUAACCGCGAUUCACAAACCGGCGUACACUCUAAUCUGUCUGCACGAUGAUUUUUGUUUAGAAUCGAUUGCCGCUACCCCUAUUUUUACUGAGAUCCGUCGAAGUUUUGUUGGUAAGAUUGAAGUUAUGAAAUUGUAGUCGUUUCCAAAACAAUUUAAGUAUGGGUUGUGAUGUUUUCAAGGUGUUCAAACGUUACGGAUGGGUUAAUUGACUAAUUUGAUCAAUUAUUCUUGAAGGUGUGAAAGGUAACUUUGGAUCACUUAAAUUCACAACCAAUUUGUGAAUUUUGAUUUUGGGUUGCCCUUAUUUGGAUUGUUUCGUGGACGAUAGUUGGUUAACGAGCUUCCCUAACUUUGACGCAAAGGUAAUAAAGACGACAAACCAGCGAGGAGCAGGAAGGAAGCGUGAUUGCCAUAGGGGUUAUUUUAAAUUUGCUUCUGCUUAAUGUUUUGUUUCACGUGUUUUGUUUUAGUACUUGAGAUUGUUUAGAAAAUUUUGUAGUUGAACUGUAUUCACGAAUUAGUAAACUUUUCUUGAAAGUGUUGGCUAUUUUAAACAGGGCCCAUAUAUAAAUUUUUUGUUUUCUUUGAGACUUUGAAAUUAUUUGA